rnacentral:rRNA from 1 species
UACGUAGGGUGCAAGCGUUUGUCCGGAAUUAUUGGGCGUAAAGAGCUCGUAGGCGGUUUGUCGCGUCUGCUGUGAAAACUCAGGGCUUAACCCCGAGCCUGCAGUGGAUACGGGCAGACUAGAGGUAGGUAGGGGAGAAUGGAAUUCCCGGUGUAGCGGUGAAAUGCGCAGAUAUCGGGAGGAACACCGGUGGCGAAGGCGGUUCUCUGGGCCUUACCUGACGCUGAGGAGCGAAAGCGUGGGGAGCGAACAGG